CGGACGGGUGGUAGUAACACGUGGAUAACCUACCUAUAAGACUGGGAUAACUUCGGGAAACCGGAGCUAAUACCGGAUAAUAUAUUGAACCGCAUGGUUCAAUGGUGAAAGAACGGUUUUGCUGUCACUUAUAGAUGGAUCCGCGCCGCAUUAGCUAGUUGGUAAGGUAACGGCUUACCAAGGCAACGAUGCGUAGCCGACCUGAGAGGGUGAUCGGCCACACUGGAACUGAGACACGGUCCAGACUCUACGGGAGGCAGCAGCU
rnacentral:rRNA from 1 species